CACCGCGGUUAUACGAGAGACCCAAGUUGAUAAACACCGGCGUAAAGAGUGGUUAUGAUACAAUUUAAACUAAAGCCGAACGCUCCCAAAGCUGUUAUACGCAUCCGAAAGUAAGAAGCCCAACCACGAAAGUAGCUUUACACCCCUGAACCCACGAAAGCUAAGAUA
rnacentral:rRNA from 1 species